GAGUUUGAUCGUGGCUCAGAUUGAACGCUGGCGGCAGGCCUAACACAUGCAAGUCGAGCGGAUGACGGGAGCUUGCUCCUUGAUUCAGCGGCGGACGGGUGAGUAAUGCCUGGGAAUCUGCCUGGUAGUGGGGGACAACGUUUCGAAAGGAACGCUAAUACCGCAUACGUCCUACGGGAGAAAGCAGGGGACCUUCGGGCCUUGCGCUAUCAGAUGAGCCUAGGUCGGAUUAGCUAGUUGGUGGGGUAAUGGCUCACCAAGGCGACGAUCCGUAACUGGUCUGAGAGGAUGAUCAGUCACACUGGAACUGAGACACGGUCCAGACUCCUACGGGAGGCAGCAGUGGGGAAUAUUGGACAAUGGGCGAAAGCCUGAUCCAGCCAUGCCGCGUGUGUGAAGAAGGUCUUCUGAUUGUAAAGCUACUUUAAGGUUGGGGGGAAGGCAGUAAGUUAAUACCUUGCUUGUUUUGACGUUACCGACAGAAUAAGCACCGGCUAACUCUGUGCCAGCAGCCG
rnacentral:rRNA from 1 species